rnacentral:ncRNA from 1 species
AUGGUUAAAAAUGACCGCUCAGUGAUAAAGGAGGUGGGGGUGCAAAGACAGCCAGGAGGUUUGCCUAGAAGCAGCCACCCUUUAAAGAGUGCGUAAUAGCUCACUGAUCGAGCGCCCUUGCACUGAAGAUGAACGGGGCUAAGCGAUCUGCCGAA